UCCAAAUCUUGGCUCAGGCCCUCCUGUCAUGUGGACUUGAACUUGCGUGCAUUGUAGGUUGGUUAUCCAUCGAUCUAUCCAUCCAUCCAUCAUCCAUCCAUCCUCUGUACGGCUUGUUCAUCAGGGUUGUGGGUUUGCUCAAGUUUGAACCAGUAGAGCAUUGUUUUUUCUGCCACCUUGUGGAAGUUGAUGCACAUUGCAGUCAUGGAGUCCACAAGAUGGCUGACGUCUCUGCUUAAGUUCAGAUACUGUAUGGCUCCACGCUACCCCAAGACAUCAAGAUAGAAGGAAAUCCUCCUUGGUGUCAUCCAACUGCUUGUGGAUGGAAGUGCCAACCUACUGUCAGGAUGAGCAACUCUUGCAGGCAUCAUCUAUUUGCAGCUGUCAGACCAACCAGGUGCUCGUACCAGGGCGCAGUGACAGCACCCCUGCUCCCCUACCAAAGGUCCUCACGUUCACAGCUGCAGGGAUAUGACAGGAGAAGGUGGGGGGUAUUGGUAGGAUUUAUCGAAGUGUUUAUGUGCCCCUCCCACAGCCCCCCUCUCAGUCAAAAUGCAUUGGGAGCUUUUUAUGAAGAGUGAGUUUUAAGCCAUCGGACAUUUUUAGUCUGAUUACAGCCGGAGACAUAAUGUGUUUACACCGAGACGGUGCAGACAGGAUUAUGGUACGGCCGAGUGCCAUGAACGGAUUAAAAAGCUCAAGAUCUUCAGUGACACCAACAUGACCUGUACAGAUGUGGAGAGCUCUAACGGGUCAUGAAAUCAAUGUAAUCAACCUAUGAAGUGGUAUUAUCACCCCAACUGUAAUGUCUUUAUGAUAAUGACAUAUUUUGUUUAGUUUUCUUUAUUGUGAUGUUUUGAUGAGGCUAUUUAGAUUUUUGAGAAUGGAUAAAAUAUGGAGUUUGGUCUCUCUCUCAGUUCCCUUGAUAUUUCAGCUUGUUUGUUUGUAAUAUGAUGUAAACAUUUAGCAGUGGAGAGCA